GCGGUCAUCUGUGGAGGCCAGGUAGUGUGUGUGUGUGUGGCAAGGCAGUGUGUGCCAUCAACAGCUCAAUCAACCAGCCAGUCAGUCUGCUAGCCAGCCAACCACUUCUGCUGUGCUUUAUUCUGUGGGCUCGUAUUAGAUCAGGAGGCAUCGUAAGCAUCAUGCAUGAUGUUUUUCACAUGCGGAUCUCGAUGUCCAGCUUGCGGAAAAGGAAGCCCUCAUGGUGUGCGGUGUGUGUUGGCGGCUGGGGGACUGCCGGGCUGCUCUGGGCCGGAGCGGACCUUGACCGCCGCGUCGUCUCUCCUGCCUCUUUGGGUCGUGGUCGGCGCCGUGGUUUGGGUCUGUCCCGAGCUCGAGGCCGGUCGGGACGGGAAGACUUCUCUGGUACCCCGUUAGGCAGGCGGGGAACCUCACCACGGGCCUGAGGGUUAUCAGGGAUCACUCUAAUCAGCAACCAGACUGACUUAUCUACCAGUAUUAUCCAAUUCACAUGUAAUGUGGCGGCGGCUUUGCGGAAGGCUUCAUGUCGACGAAUCAGCUGCUCCACCUCGUCUACACUCCCACCCAGCUCCUUGCUGUUGAUGAACGGCUCCUGAGCGGUCAACCAUGCCUCCGCCACUACCGCCUCCUGGGC